rnacentral:rRNA from 1 species
AGUCGAACGAUGAAGCGACUAGCUUGCUAGUUGUGGAUUAGUGGCGCACGGGUGAGUAAGGUAUAGUUAAUCUGCCCUACACAAGAGGACAACAGUUGGAAACGACUGCUAAUACUCUAUACUCCUGCUUAACAUAAGUUGAGUAGGGAAAGUUUUUCGGUGUAGGAUGAGACUAUAUAGUAUCAGCUAGUUGGUGAGGUAAUGGCUCACCAAGGCUAUGACGCUUAACUGGUCUGAGAGGAUGAUCAGUCACACUGGAACUGAGACACGGUCCAGACUCCUACGGGAGGCAGCAGUAGGGAAUAUUGCGCAAUGGGGGAAACCCUGACGCAGCAACGCCGCGUGGAGGAUGACACUUUUCGGAGCGUAAACUCCUUUUCUUAGGGAAGAAUUCUGACGGUACCUAAGGAAUAAGCACCGGCUAACUCCGUGCCAGCAGCCGCGGUAAUACGGAGGGUGCAAGCGUUACUCGGAAUCACUGGGCGUAAAGGGCGCGUAGGCGGAUUAUCAAGUCUCUUGUGAAAUCCAACGGCUUAACCGUUGAACUGCUUGGGAAACUGGUAAUCUAGAGUGGGGGAGAGGCAGAUGGAAUUGGUGGUGUAGGGGUAAAAUCCGUAGAUAUCACCAAGAAUACCCAUUGCGAAGGCGAUCUGCUGGAACUUAACUGACGCUAAGGCGCGAAAGCGUGGGGAGCAAACAGGAUUAGAUACCCUGGUAGUCCACGCCCUAAACGAUGUAUGCUAGUUGUUGGGGUGCUAGUCAUCUCAGUAAUGCAGCUAACGCAUUAAGCAUACCGCCUGGGGAGUACGGUCGCAAGAUUAAAACUCAAAGGAAUAGACGGGGACCCGCACAAGCGGUGGAGCAUGUGGUUUAAUUCGAAGAUACGCGAAGAACCUUACCUGGGCUUGAUAUCCUAAGAACCUUAUAGAGAUAUGAGGGUGCUAGCUUGCUAGAACUUAGAGACAGGUGCUGCACGGCUGUCGUCAGCUCGUGUCGUGAGAUGUUGGGUUAAGUCCCGCAACGAGCGCAACCCACGUAUUUAGUUGCUAACACUUCGGGUGAGCACUCUAAAUAGACUGCCUUCGUAAGGAGGAGGAAGGUGUGGACGACGUCAAGUCAUCAUGGCCCUUAUGCCCAGGGCGACACACGUGCUACAAUGGCAUAUACAAUGAGACGCAAUACCGCGAGGUGGAGCAAAUCUAUAAAAUAUGUCCCAGUUCGGAUUGUUCUCUGCAACUCGAGAGCAUGAAGCCGGAAUCGCUAGUAAUCGUAGAUCAGCCAUGCUACGGUGAAUACGUUNNNGGGUCUUGUACUCACCGCCCGUCACACCAUGGGAGUUGAUUCACUCGAAGCCGGAAUACUAA